ensembl:processed_transcript
UUAUAUACAUUUUCGAAUUGCAUUAUGGGAAGGGGAUCGCAGCUCAGGCAGCGUUUGAUGGACACCUGGACAUAUUUCUUCCUGUUUUUUCCCUGUUGUUUGUCCGUAUUUUUCUAAACUGCCGUGCGCGGGAAGUGAUGUGACGUCCCAAUCACCCACUCACUCCCUCUGCACCUGCGUGAUUAACGGUAAAACGUCAGCUUGUCUGUGAGAGUGUAAAAGGUUCUUUCAUUUUGGUUAUAAGUACAUGGUACAGGUGUGUUGGUGUAAAAAUUAAUGCUGACUGAACUCAGGCAGUUGUGCUGGACCUUCUGUACCUUAUACAGGAGAUGACGGUAAACUUUGAAGUUUAAGAGGUAAAAUGUUCAGCGUUUUUUCUGUUUGAUUUUGAGUGUUUUUUUAUAUGUAAGGUUCACUGAUAUUUUGCUUUGUUGACUUCCAGGUUCUGUCAUUUUAGUUAUAAGUACAAGGUACAGGUACAUUUUCACAGCAAUCUAAAUAAAAAUCUUAAAUCUUACGUUCAAUCCAAACUAAAUUUCAAUUGAUAUAGACAAAUGAAAUAAAAUACACCUGGGGUUUUAAAUGUUUUAAUUUUUUUAUUAUUCACAAAGUUUGUAAAGUAUAACAGUAGACUACAUGUUGCAUGUUUCAAACUGAAUGAGUGCUAUUUUUGUUGUAGGUGUGUUGGUGUAGAAAUUGAUGCUGACUGGUCAGUACUGCAU